GAUCAUGGCUCAGGAUGAACGCUAGCUACAGGCUUAACACAUGCAAGUCGAGGGGAAACGAUAGAGAAAGCUUGCUUUUUCUAGGCGUCGACCGGCGCACGGGUGAGUAACGCGUAUCCAACCUGCCCAUCACUUGGGGAUAACCUUGCGAAAGUAAGACUAAUACCCCAAUGACGUCUCUAGAAGACAUCUGAAAGAGAUUAAAGAUUUAUCGGUGAUGGAUGGGGAUGCGUCUGAUUAGCUUGUUGGCGGGGUAACGGCCCACCAAGGCGACGAUCAGUAGGGGUUCUGAGAGGAAGGUCCCCCACAUUGGAACUGAGACACGGUCCAAACUCCUACGGGAGGCAGCAGUGAGGAAUAUUGGUCAAUGGGCGAGAGCCUGAACCAGCCAAGUAGCGUGAAGGAUGACUGCCCUAUGGGUUGUAAACUUCUUUAUAAAGGAAUAAAGUCGGGUAUGGAUACCCGUUUGCAUGUACUUUAUGAAUAAGGAUCGGCUAACUCCGUG
rnacentral:rRNA from 1 species